UACGUAGGGGGCAAGCGUUGUCCGGAUUUAUUGGGCGUAAAGAGCGUGUAGGCGGCUAGGUAGGUCCGUUGUGAAAACUCGAGGCUCAACCUCGAGCUGUCGAUGGAAACCAUCUGGCUAGAGUCCGGAAGAGGAGAGUGGAAUUCCUGGUGUAGCGGUGAAAUGCGCAGAUAUCGGGAAGAACACCCGUGGCGAAGGCGGCUUUCUGGGACGGUACUGACGCUGAGGAGCGAAAGC
rnacentral:rRNA from 1 species